rnacentral:rRNA from 1 species
UACGUAGGGGGCAAGCGUUAUCCGGAUUUACUGGGUGUAAAGGGAGCGUAGACGGUGACGCAAGUCAGAAGUGAAAGCCCGGGGCUCAACUCCGGGACUGCUUUUGAAACCGUGUAACUGGAGUGCAGGAGAGGUAAGCGGAAUUCCUGGUGUAGCGGUGAAAUGCGUAGAUAUCAGGAGGAACACCAGUGGCGAAGGCGGCUUACUGGACUGUAACUGACGUUGAGGCUCGAAAGCGUGGGGAGCAAACAGG